AAACCGUGCGACUCCAGGGCACCUGCGCAGAAAGGUGCGUUAAGAUGGCGGCUGCUGGAGUCGACCGCUGCGCGGCGAUGAAAUUCCAGGGAAUUAUAACUGGAACUACUCUGUUAUGUCUCUAUUUGAAAGGCAAAAUGAAGAUGGACAAAAUGAAGGUAGUCUGUAUGUCAUUAUUAUUGCCUCCAAAACAUAUGCACAUGCACACACAUGUAUGUGUGCACUCACACAUAUGACAGAUAAACAACCUGGACAAACUACCAGUCAAGCAAACUGACCAGGAAAGGAAAUAUACUUUGCAGAAAUAAAUAUUUCAUACUUAUAGUUACA
rnacentral:lncRNA from 1 species